rnacentral:rRNA from 1 species
AAUGAACGCUGGCGGCAUGCCUAACACAUGCAAGUCGAACGAACACACGAGGAGCUUGCUCCCCUGACGUUAGCGGCGGUCGGAUGAGUAACACGUGGAUAGCAUACCUCUAAGACUGGGAUAACAACGGGAGACCAGAUCUACUAACGCAUAAUAUAUCGAACCGCAUGGUUCAAUCGUUAAAGACGCUUUUGGUGACAGUUAUAGACGGAUCCGGGUCCGAUUCGCUAGUUGGUAAGGUAACGGCUUACCAAGGCAACGAGUCUUAGAGGCCCUGAGAGGGAGAUCCGCCACAUGGUAACUGAGACACGGUCCAGACUCCUACGGUAGGCAGCAGUAGGGAAUCUUACGCAAGGGGCGAAAGCCUGAUGGAGCAACACCGCGUGAGUGAUGAAGGUCUUCGGAUCGUAAAGCGCUGUUGUUAGGAAAGAACAAAAGCGUAUUUACCCAUGCACGUCUUGACGGUACCGAAAGAAUAAGCCACGGCUAACUCCGUG